GUAAUCAAAAGUUUAUUAAUUGUAAACCUGUAUGAAAGAUAAAAUUUAUAUUCUCUCUCCUAUGUUUAAUUGUGAAUUUAAAGAAAAAUAAAAAAUAUUUUCUUAGUAGGCAGACGAGAAGACCCUAAAAGCUAAUUGUAAACAAUUUUUUGGGGAAAAUAUGAUUUUUAAUCUAAUUUGAAAAAAUUUUAAAAACUUGAAAAUAAGCUACUUUAGGGAUAACAGAGUAAUUUUUUCAAAAAGAACAUAUUGAAUUAAAAGAUUACGACCUCGAUGUUGGAUUCUUGUGUCUAAGGGCCGCAGCCGGCCCUUAAGAAUAGACUGUUCGUUUUUCAAACCAAG
rnacentral:rRNA from 1 species